GAAUAUUGCGCAAUGGGGGAAACCCUGACGCAGCAACGCCGCGUGGAGGAUGAAGGCCUUCGGGUCGUAAACUCCUGUCAGAUGGGACGAACCCGUUGUCGGCGAAACACCGGCAGCCUUGACGGUACCAUCCGAGGCGGCCCCGGCUAACUCCGUGCCAGCAGCCGCGGUAAUACGGAGGGGGCGAGCGUUAUGCGGAAUUAUUGGGCGUAAAGGGCGCGCAGGCGGCCUGGCAAGUCAAAGGUGAAAUCCCUCGGCCCAACCGAGGAACUGCCUUUGAAACUGCCUGGCUCGAGGCCGGGAGAGGGUAGUGGAAUUCCCAGUGUAGCGGUGAAAUGCGUAGAUAUUGGGAGGAACACCAGUGGCGAAGGCGACUGCCUGGACCGGUUCUGACGCUGAGGCGCGAAAGCGUGGGGAGCAAACAGG
rnacentral:rRNA from 1 species